UACGUAGGGUGCAAGCGUUUGUCCGGAAUUAUUGGGCGUAAAGAGCUCGUAGGCGGUUUGUCGCGUCUGCUGUGAAAACUCGGGGCUCAACUCCGAGCUUGCAGUGGGUACGGGCAGACUAGAGUGCGGUAGGGGAGACUGGAAUUCCUGGUGUAGCGGGUGGAAUGCGCAGAUAUCAGGAGGAACACCGGUGGCGAAGGCGGGUCUCUGGGCCGUAACUGGACGCUGAGGAGCGAAAGCAUGGGGAGCGAACAGG
rnacentral:rRNA from 1 species